GAUGGAUGGCCGAGUGGUUAAGGCGUUUGACUAGAAAUCAAAUGGGAUCUUCCCGCGUAGGUUCGAAUCCUACUCGCAGCG
rnacentral:tRNA from 1 species